UACGAAGGGUGCAAACGUUGCUCGGAAUUAUUGGGCGUAAAGCGCACGUAGGCGGCUUAGCAAGUCGGAAGUGAAAGCCCUCGGCUCAACCAAGGAAGUGCUUUCGAAACUGCUGAGCUUGAGUACUUAAGAGGAUCGCGGAAUUCCCGGUGUAGAGGUGAAAUUCGUAGAUAUCGGGAGGAACACCAGUGGCGAAGGCGGCGACCUGGGCCAAUAUUGGACGC
rnacentral:rRNA from 1 species